rnacentral:rRNA from 1 species
GACGUAGGGCGCGAGCGUUGUCCGGAUUUAUUGGGCGUAAAGAGCUCGUAGGCGGCUUGUUGCGUCGUCCGUGAAAACUUGUGGCUUAACCACAGGCUGGCGGUCGAUACGGGCAGGCUGGAGUUCGGUAGGGGAGACUGGAAUUCCUGGUGUAGCGGUGAAAUGCGCAGAUAUCAGGAGGAACACCGGUGGCGAAGGCGGGUCUCUGGGCCUUACCUGACGCUGAGGAGCGAAAGCGUGGGGAGCGAACAGG